rnacentral:lncRNA from 1 species
UCUACAGGGUGAGACAGGGAGUUUAAGGUGGGAACCAAAGGCUCUUGAGCAAAUGCAGAAAGGAAAUGGACUUAUGCAGAGGCCCAUACAGCCCCCAGUCAACCCUGCCUUUGCCAUGUCAGCUGUGGGGGAUUUUGUGCUGGUCUCAGCCUCUGAGCGCUCUCUGCCUCAGUUUCCCUCUGCAGGGUGGAGCCAGCACCCACAGCCAUGUUUUGGCACGUGGCAAACUAACUCCUUUUGUGUACUGUGCAGUCUUAGGAGUAAUGAGGCAGCAAUAUUAUUGUUAGUUCUCUGUUCUAAUGAUCAGCUGUGAGGACCUAAGCAAAUGAGAGUUGCUAUAGUGUUAUGAAGAAAAGACCCUGACUUGUUAGAGUGGCCAUUUGUUUCCCCACAGCUAUUCAUCCCCCUGGUGCCCUCAUCACCAGGGCAUAUCUAAAAGAUGCCAUGCUAGAUACCCAUCCAGGGUAUGGUACAGACAUCACAAGGUAAGUAUUCCAAGGCCAGAGAAGUGAAAAUGUUCACAGCAGCUCUGGAAGAGAGGAACUCAGAAACCUCUGGGCACCUUCUGGAUGGAGCCCAUUGCCUCCACAUCCAAACAUGGACCAUGUAUUGCUACAAAGGAAGCAAUAGUGUGCUCCACGGAAGGCCCGGGCUGCUGCCGGUCCCUCCAGAGUUCACGGCUGGGCAUGAUGAGACCAACCUCUCUCACCCUGGCCGCUUCUCUAGCCAGUGGGAGGGCAGAGGCUGGCAGAAAAGCCUCCGUCUGCCUUGUUGACUCUGCCGGGUUCAGAGAGGGCUUCACAUUUGACUUGGCGAAGGAGAGAAGUUCUUUAUUUCCCUCAGCCUCAGGUCUGCCAAGCCCAAGGCUGAGGUGAGCAGUUUUCUCCUCCGUCUCUCAUUGCCACAUCAUUACCUGCAGAGUUCAAUGAAAAGCCCCAUCCAGAAUGGGCCAAGCCGAGCCUGCAAUGGGCUUGUUCUCUCCUCGGGGCGUGCUCCUUCUUCCCCUCCAGCUCAGCCUGCCAGGCCUUCCCAGUGAUACUGCGAGCUGGGUUUUUCUUUCUUCCCGCCCCCCAAGUCCAGAGCCCAGUUAUUUACCCAAAGAAAACAGGGAAGUGACAAGGUAACAGAGUACACAUGUUGUGAAAAUAUGCAGGCUGGGGCUGAAGAAAAGAAAACAUUCUUCCAUAAGUAGCUGCCUUGUUAAUUCAUUUUUUUCUCCAGAUUAGAACCAGCCAUUUCUUGUGUGCCUUCAAGCACCUUCUGUGGUUUCCUGACAGCUGCCUGCAAGGGGUGAGAUUUGGCUUGAAAAAUGGGCCAUCGGUCAUGCUUCGGGGGAAGGGCAGAAACCAAAAUUCCCAGAUUGCUCAAAUUCACUGCUCCUUUUCUAAAUGGGAACGAAAGAGGGAGAGGUGGUGGGGAGAGGACUGUAUAAACUCUGAGGCGUAACCUGAUUUUCCGUAAGAAACGACAGCUCGGUAAUGAGCAGUCCUUGGAACGUGCUUUUUUACCUCCUCUUGAAGUUGGUUUCCGAUCCCUGGCAAGCCUGUGCUCUGCAGCCUUGAGUAACGGCCACAGGCCGAUUCUCGGCAAUUAAAAAUAAUAUUGGCCCUGAU